CUGAGGAAUAGGACUGUCUGGAGGGAUGAGAGGAUUGCCUCAAGGCUUAAAGUGCAUCCCUGAGAAGUGGGGAGCAUUUCCCACAGCAAAAGACGGGGAUAGGGCUUUGGAUACCCUUAUCUGCUUUACUUACACUGGACCUAGGAAGGAAGAAGGAGACUGGGAUUUAGGGAGCACCUAGUGUGGGCCAAGCUGGCAAAAGCCUGACCACGUGAAGGGUUAAGAGUACAUGGUUCUCGGCUUCCUGGCUGCUGCUGCUUUUUUUGUUGUUGUUGGAUGUUGUUGUUGAGAUGGAGUCUUGCUCUGUCGCCCAAGCUGGAGUGCAAUGGCAUGAUCUCAGCUCACUGCUACCUCCACCUCCUGAGUUCAAGUGAUUCUCCUGCCUCGGCCUCCUGAGAAGCUGGGAUUACAGGUACAGGCCAUGACACCUGACUAGUUUUUGUAUUUCUAGUAGAGAUGGGGUUUCACCAUGUUGACCGGGCUGGUCUCAAACUCCUGACCUCAAGUGAUUUGCCCGCCUCAGCCUCCCAUGCUGGGAUUACAGGCAUGAGUCACCGUGCCCGGCCCCCCGAUUGCUUCUAUGUGAACAAUCCCAUGACCUCUGGUCCCGCUCCUGCUUUGUGGUUGGCUCAACUGAGUCAUGGUGGGGAGAAAGAGAACCCACUCUCCCUGCCUUGCUCCUGGCAAGGGAGCCUAGCGUCCAGUGAGAACAGGUGUAGUAGACUUGUCGGGUGGGAAUGUGAAGAGCUGAGGCUUGUGUGCCUGGCAGGUCUGGCUGUAUGAGAUGGGUUACCUUGGGGGUUGAGUUAACCCUGGCAGGCUGUGUCCUUGUCUGAAAAGGAGAAUAAUCAUAUGAGCCUCUCAGGAGUUGUGAGGGCAGUGCCUGGCCCAAAAUAGAUGUUUGUUCCCUUCCUCUUGGUCUAGGUAGAGCUGAGUGGGGUUAGAGUUCUCUAGGAGGCUGCUUUGCCCACUGUGUCAUGUUUCAGUGCCCAAUGGGGCAAUGUGGCCUUUGGCCCUGGAGUCUGAAGCUAUCCCGUGGUACCCUGCUGUCGUCUCCCCACGAUGCUCCCAAGACCUCAGGACCUCCGGUCCCCAGGCACCUUUCUUGCCUCCACAAGUCCCCAGUGUUGCAGACUAAUAUGUUGUCCUCAGGGCUCUCUCAGCCAUUCUCUUGUUUGGUAUUUAAGUGGCAAGAAAUCAAAUUAUAUGUCCAAACCACACAGUUAGUACAUGAUAGAGCUGGGACUUGAACUCAUACCUCUAUGAUCCUAUUCUCAAGCCUUGUCCACAACACUCAGUCAUCCUGAUCAAUCUCCUUGCUAGAUAUCUGAGGACACCGAGACCAGAGAGGCCAAGUGGCUUACCUAGGGUUCCACACUAGUUAGCAUCAGAGCUUACCGCCCAAUGGUUUCACUACCACUCUGUGUAUUGUUGAAUAUUACUGGUUAUGGUUUUCACUAAGCAAGCAAUACCACCACCUGGUGGCAGUAUGCCUGAAUUACAGGGGCAACUCCUGAGGGUCAACUCUCUCCUCCCUUUCAACCUGAUGACUAAAAUUGAUUUUCGAAAAAGUACCUAGCUGGGUGACAUCUGUGUGACAAAUUCCUAAAGUUGUCCUUCAUCAGAUCCCGCUUGAGAGCAGCAUUUGUAGGAGGGCUUGUGGGGUUGCAGAUGGGGUCAGUGGAUACGGAACAGAGUUAAUGGGAUGCACAGAUCUAGUCAAAAGCCUCAUUGUGCCUGGACCUUACCCCUCUAUCCCUGUGGCGAAACCCGUUUUGGCUGUUCACUCUGCGGUGCAAUGCUGGCUCUAAAAUGGACUGUCUCUCCUUUUUUAAAAUUUUUCUUGAGACCAAGUUUUGUUCUUGUUGCCCAGGCUGGAGUGCAAUAGCGUGAUCUCGGCUUGCUACAACCUCCGCCUCUCUGGUUCAAGCUAUUCUCCUGCCUCAGACUUCUGAGUAGCUGGGAUUACAGGCAUGUGCCACCAUGCCCAACUAAUUUUGUAUUAGUAGAGAUGGGGUUCCUCCAUGUUGGCCAGGCUGGUCUCAAGGUUCCAACCUCAGGUGAUCUGCCCACCUCAACCUCCCAAAGUUGGGAUUACAGGCACGAGCCAUCGUACCUGGCCCUGGACUGUCUCUUUAAAAAUCUUUCUGGUUGUAACUGAAGCGGUAACCGAAGCAACCGCUGAGGCUGUUACCAAGGGCAACCUGGCAAGCCAGAGUGCGUUAAAUUAAAUUAAACAGGCUUGUGAGUGCCCCUCCCCUCCUGGAGAAGGGAGGGGUGUUCCACCUCUCUCCCGGAGAAUAAAGUUGCUGUGAAACCUCUUAUGGCUGCAAGGAAUUCAGUUACAGAGUUUACGACUCCCAGAGGCAAGAUGUUUGGAGGCAGCCUGGGAGGAGGCUCACAGGACUUCUGCCAGAAGAGGAGUAUUUACAAGCGCACAUUUCAGCACUUGGGAGGCCGAGGCAGGAGAAUCUCUUGAACCUAGGAGGUGAAGGUUGCAGUGAGCGGAGAUCGUGCUACUGCACUCCAGCCUGGUGACAGAACAAGACUCCGUCACUAAAAAAAACGAAGAAGGGCUGGGCACGGUGGCUCAUGCCUGUAAUCCCAGCACUUUGGGAGGCCGAGGUGGGUGGAUCACGAGGUCAAGAGAUCGAGAUCAUCCUGGUCAACAUGUGAAACCCCGUCUCUACUAAAAAUACAAAAAAUUAGCUGGGCAUGGUGGCGCGUGCCUGUAAUCCCAGCUACUCAGGAGGCUGAGGCAGGAGAAUUGCUUGAACCCAGGAGGCAGAGGUUGCAUUGAGCCGAGAUCGCGCCAUUGCACUCCAGCCUGGGUAACAAAAACGAAACUCCGUCUCAAAAAAAAAAGAAGAAGAAGAAGAAAAGAAAUUGUGAUCCUCAGGGAAGCAUGAAGAUCGAAGCUCCUGUGGGCUGGACCAGGAAACAGAGACUACAGAAAAAGCCACCGGCCCGGCCACAUAGCUCAGGGCAGAAGCGCCAGGAUUCCAGUUCACAUCUGCCUCCCUCCAGUGCCCCUGCUGUUUCCACCUCAUCGUGCUGACUCUGUGAAGGCUGACACUGCAGGAAUAAAAGUCACAAGGUGGCAGGCCUGUGGACGUGUCCUUCCUGCACAACUGGAAUGUCCUCUGUGAUGACACGGAACAGCCUUUCUGCUCCUGCAAACCCAGCCCCGCCCCAUCUGGCCCCAGCCUACUGCCUGUGGGGCAUGCACAACACAGGCAGGGAAGGGGGUGUCUCUUCCCCACACCCAGCUGCCAGUGGCGAUGCGUCGUGCUCCUGCCUUGUCAGCUGUGGGGAGGAAACACAGGAUGGGAUUGGAGUCCCACCCCUGCCUCUCACUCCUCCAGGGGUCCUGGAGAGCCCACUGGCUUGGCUCAACUUCUACAUCUGCAAACAGGGGUGACCCCACGUGCUCUGCCGGUGCCACAGGCAUGUUGGUGGGGUGGUGUGCGCACAGGCGGGGAGAAUUUGGGGGUUGGGUGUUAUGCCAUGGAAGCAAAUAUUCAGCCCUGUCUUGGACUCUCUGGGCAGUUCCCUGUGGAUUUGAAGCUUUGAGCAGCUCCCUGUUGCCACCUCCCUUCUGGUCCUAGGCCUGUCAUGCAAACACUGGCCCUGUGAAUCAACUUUGCUAUGUGCGGGGACCCAUACUUGCUGGACUGUGUUGAGCCACUUCUCAGUUUCAUUGUCCCUAGUGAGAGGGCCAUCCCUUCCUGGUCCAGAGUCCAAAUCCAACUCUAGCACUGAUAGUAGCUGAGUGGGUCUGCAGAGCUCUUUCCCUCCGUGUAACAACAGUGAUGCCUGAAUUUGCUCAGCUUCUCCCGUGGGUCUGUGCCGUGCUGCACUCUAAUACACAUCAUCUUUCUCCUGUAGAAGAGGUGGUUGGGCUGGAUGAUGCUAAAAGCAGCUUUGGCUCUGGGCUUCUGGGAACCCAGUUCUCAAACUUCCCAGCUAAGUGGGGAGAGAAGCCAGUAACAAGCCUAGAAGACACUGAUAGGCAAAGGUGAGUGCCCCAAGGCCACGGAAGUCUGGAGCCAGACCCUGAGGAAAGCUGUCCUUCCGCCUGGGCUUUGAUAUCCCGCAGACCUGAGUUCAGUUCCUGCCAGCCACAUGCGCCCUUGGGCAAGUCACAGCACCUCUCCAGCCUUAGUUUGCCAUCUAUAGAAUGGGGUUAAUAACAAUGUGGAUUUGGCAGCAUUUCUGUGAAGAUCAAAUGAGAUCAUUGAUGAAAAGCACUGUGUGCACAGUGCCUGAGAUCUCAUCCAGCUUCAUCUACCUCCUCUUGUAGCUAACCAAGUCAAACCAUUCAGAAUUGUGGACUCGUGUGUGUGUGUGUCUGUGUGUGCGUGCACACUCAUGCAUGCAUGCAUGCAUACCAGGGAUCCUGGGGUUGCUGACCUAUGGCACUUUCUUGGCCCUUCCUGCCAGGUCCCCACCCCGCUGGGAGGAGUGAUAGACUGGAAUGCCCACACCUUUGUUCGUGAGACUAGCCACCUCCCUCCCCAGCUGCCUCAGCUGGCUGGUGAAGUGUGGACAGCCCUGGGUGCACUGGGACAACCUGGACAAACUUCCCCUCCCUGAGCCUGUUAUGCCCAGGGUAUGAGGAGGAACCACAAUACCUGGCAGUGUGUCUGUGAGGUUUGAAUAAACAUAAAAUGGGCCGGGUGCAGUGGCUCACACCUGUAAUCCUAGCACUUUGGGAGGCUGAGGCAGGUGGAUCACAAGGUCAGGAGUUCAAGACUAGCCUGGCCAAGAUGGUGAAACCCUGUCUCUAAAAAUUAAAAAAAAAUUAGCCAGGAGUGGUGGCAGGUGGCUAUAAUCCCAGCUACUUGGGAGACUGAGCUGAGAUAGCAGCACUGCAUUCCAGCCUGGGUGACAGGGCGAGACUCCACCUCAAAAUAAUAAUAAUAAUAAUAAAUAAAAUGCACGAAGGCAGGUGAGAGCCUGAGCUCAAUGCACAAUGCACAGACACCAUUGCAGGUGUGGCUUCUGUCAUCACUCAGGGCCUGCCCUGGUGUGUGUGAGUGACUGCAUGUGUGUGUUAAGGCACCAGUGUUUUGGGAAAAUGGGAAGAAAAUAACAUAACUGAGUUGGCUUGGGACAGGUAUAUUAUUUUUUUUUUUGUUU